AGGGGCUGGAGAGCGGGAGGGAGAACCGGACCAGACCCGGAGGGCACGGACCCUGAGCGUCUGCAAGCAGGUCACCCCAAGAAACUAUGGAGGCCUCACGGAGCCCUUGAGGGUGCGGGCUCGGUGACACCAUGAUACCCUGGACCGGGCAUCCUGAAAAGUAGUCUUUUUUUUUUUUUUUUAAUGUGACACGGAGAAGACACAAAUCUCUCCCUGGAGACCGCGGCCGGGUGGAUCCCCAGACGUCGAGCCGGCGGUGGAACUGGACAGCAUUGACCAGGACAGACGAGGACCCAUCGCAGACCUCAGCCCGCGUGCUGCGUCCCGUUGGGCGCCAGCAGGACUCCUGGACAUGGAUUAUCUCGGCUGCAGCCUGAGGACAGCGGGCUGCAAGGGGCUGGUGUGACUCAGCGGCACCGCCAUCGGUCUGCACCCCGGAGCCGAGCCUGGGAACCCCGGAGUCGUCGCUGUUGACGCAUGCCUCCGAGAGGACCGUCUCGCGCAGCCCUUCCCGCCGUUCCCCUCCUAAAGCAUGGGGGACACAGCCUUAGAGCCUAGCCAGGUCCUACCUGCCCGGUCCGCCACCUGGCUUGGGAGGCCUUCAAAAUGAGGGGCGGGGCGAUUUCUCAGGACACCUCGUGGUCAAGUUUCUGGAGACUUUUUGGAAAAAAGUUGGAAUUGCGACCCACCUCCCCCAAAAGCUAAUUUUAAAGGGGAAGGGCGAAAAUGACCUAGUUAUAGAGCGUAAGACAACCUCCAUUACAGACUUAAUGAGCAGGCCUGACACAGUAAGACCUGGAGCUCAGGCAUGCAGUUGAUACUCAAUAAAUGCUUGCUGGAAUGG